UACGUAGGGACCGAGCGUUGUCCGGAUUCAUUGGGCGUAAAGAGCUCGUAGGCGGCCACUCAAGUCGAAUGUGAAACCUCGAGGCUUAACCUCGAGCCUGCAUUCGAUACUGGGCGGCUAGAGUCUGGUAGGGGGAUCUGGAAUUCCUGGUGUAGCGGUGGAAUGCGCAGAUAUCAGGAGGAACACCGGUGGCGAAGACGGGUUGCUGGGCCGACACUGACGCUGACAGCGCGAAAGCCAGGGGAGCAAACGGG
rnacentral:rRNA from 1 species